rnacentral:snRNA from 1 species
UAAGCUUCUUUUUGCUUCUC